rnacentral:RNase_P_RNA from 2 species
UAAAUUACAUGGCCAACUGCUACUAUAAAGUAGAGGAAAAUCCGCUCUAGCACUCGCUGUGAUGCGAGUAGUGUUCAUGCUAGACCCAAUAAGUCUAGGCAACAAUUUAGUUGACGACUAGUGCAACAGAGACGAGCUUAUUUAGUUAAGAUGCAACGAUGUAAACUCCAUGAGCUAGAAACCCAAAUUUUGGUAGGGGAACUGGGAACAAGGAAUCGAACAAAGAACCCGGAAGCCAAUUGGCUUAGAUAAAUAGUUGGCGCUAUUAAAAUAGUACAGAAAGCGGUUUAUAGUGUCAUAAAAA